rnacentral:rRNA from 1 species
UACAGAGGGGGCUAGCGUUGUUCGGAAUUACUGGGCGUAAAGGGCGCGUAGGUGGCCUGUUAAGUCGAACGUGAAAUCCCCGGGCUCAACCCGGGAACUGCGUCCGAGACUGGCAGGCUCGAAUCCGGGAGAGGGAUGUGGAAUUCCUGGUGUAGCGGUGAAAUGCGCAGAUAUCAGGAGGAACACCAAUGGCGAAGGCAGCUCGCUGGAACGGUACUGACGCUGAGGCGCGAAAGCGUGGGGAGCAAACAGG